rnacentral:rRNA from 1 species
AAUGGGCGAAAGCCUGACGCAGCAACGCCGCGUGAGUGAUGAAGGCCCUCGGGUCGUAAAGCUCUGUCGGGAGGGAAGAAGUGAUUGAGGGUUAAUACCCCUUGAUCUUGACGGUACCUCCGAAGGAAGCACCGGCUAACUCCGUGCCAGCAGCCGCGGUAAUACGGAGGGUGCAAGCGUUGUUCGGAAUUAUUGGGCGUAAAGCGCGUGUAGGCGGUCUUUUAAGUCUGAUGUGAAAGCCCCGGGCUCAACCUGGGAAGUGCAUUGGAAACUGGGAGGCUUGAGUACGGGAGAGGAGAGUGGAAUUCCUAGUGUAGGAGUGAAAUCCGUAGAUAUUAGGAGGAACACCAGUGGCGAAGGCGGCUUUCUGGACUGUAACUGACACUGAGGCAUGAAAGCGUGGGGAGCAAA